rnacentral:misc_RNA from 1 species
GAUGAAGAGCGCAGCGAAAUGCGAUACGUAAUGUGAAUUGCAGAAUUCAGUGAAUCAUCGAAUCUUUGAACGCACAUUGCGCCCCCUGGUAUUCCGGGGGGCAUGCCUGUUCGAGCGUCAUUACAACCCUCAAGCUCUGCUUGGUAUUGGGCCCCGCCAGUUCUGGCGGGCCCUAAAGUCAGUGGCGGUGCCUUCCGGCUCCGAGCGUAGUAAUUCUUCUCGCUCUGGAGACCCGGUUGUGUGCUUGCCAACAACCCCCAAUUUUUUAAGGUUGACCUCGGAUCAGGUAGGGAUACCCGCUGAACUUAAGCAUAUCAAUAAGCGGAGGA